rnacentral:lncRNA from 1 species
AUAAGCUCUCUUCCCCUUCUUCUUCUCUCUAUCUAUUUGUCUGCAUUUAUGUGUCUCUCCUCUCUGGAUUUCUUUGCCCCUGCUCCCUAUCUACCCCUACUCUCACUCUGAUGACUGCCAUAUCCUCUCUCUCUCUCUCUCUCUCUCUCUCUCUCUCUCUCUCUAUUCUCCUUCUUGUAAGCCUCUUUCGAGGCCUCUCUCCUCUCCCUGCCUCUUUCCCCUGAUGACUGCUCUAUUCGCUAUAUCUCUCUCUCUCUCUUUAUGCUGCCCCUACUUUCUCCCUACCUUUCCUCCCUGUACGCCUCUUUCGAGACCUCUCUCCUCUCCCUGCUCUCUCCCCUGAUGACUGCCCUAUUCCCUCUCUCUCUCUCUCUCUUUCUCUCUCUCUCUCUCUCUUUAUGCUGCCCCUACUUUCUCCCUACCUUUCCUCCCUGUAUGUCUCUUUCGAGGCCUCUCUCCUCUUACGUGUCUCUCUGCCCUC